CAUAAAAAUUAUGCUAUUUAUUUAAUUUAUUAUAAUAUCUAUUAUAUUCUGAAGUUCUCUGUAAAGAUAAGUACACAAUAAUGGUGUUAGGGUUAAAUAGUUGCUCCUAUUGAUUUAACUACUUUGGAUUUAGUUGGUCAUUUGCUUAUGAUUUAAUUUUUCUCACAGUACACCCCGGUCAAAAUAUCUUAUAACUCGAGGCUAUUUUGAACGAAUCUAAUUAAUACUCUACCACUUCUAUACAGGAAUAUACUUAGUAGCCAAGCAUUAAGAAACUAUUUUUCUAUAUAUUUUUUUGUAUUUUUAUGCAGAUUUUCCUCAAAAUGUGACAAAUUGUCACAGUGCCUUGUAAAAACUUGCCUUGAUAUAAUCGUUGCCUUUUUAAAAACUGGCACUACACAAACAAACUAUUGCAUAUUUUUUUUUUAAGUAUAUUUUCUUUAU